CAUUGAAUAUGAUCUAUAAUCUCUAUUUCAAUAUUUGGACUACACCUACACUAUAAUAAGGAGACCAUUCGCACUGAAAGACAAUAGUCAUUGGUCAAAGUGCAAUAAAAAAUCUGUUGUUCUCUCACAUUUUAAGAAAAACUAACGUUAAUCUCUGC